GCUCAGGAUGAACGCUAGCUACAGGCUUAACACAUGCAAGUCGAGGGGUAGCAGGGUAGCAAUACCGCUGACGACCGGCGCACGGGUGAGUAACACGUAUCCAACCUUCCCAUUACUCGGGGAUAGCCUUUCGAAAGAAAGAUUAAUACCCGAUAGUACUUUUUCGAGGCAUCUCGUAAAAAGUUAAAGAUUUAUUGGUAAUGGAUGGGGAUGCGUUCCAUUAGAUUGUUGGUGAGGUAACGGCUCACCAAGUCUUCGAUGGAUAGGGGUUCUGAGAGGAAGGUCCCCCACAUUGGUACUGAGACACGGACCAAACUCCUACGGGAGGCAGCAGUGAGGAAUAUUGGUCAAUGGGCGAGAGCCUGAACCAGC
rnacentral:rRNA from 1 species